CUGCCAUCUGAAUUUGAACUUGUUGUCAGACUUCUGAAAGUAGAUCUAAGUCAGCUCUCUGAAUUAUGAAUUGCUCGGCUCGUUGUACUGCUCUAUCCUGAUUGAUGGUAAUUCGAUCUCAAGUGGGAUCAUCACUUCUGUUCCAUAAGUCAGAUUAAAUGGUGACUUUCUCAUUGGUAUGCGAAGAGUUGUUCGAUAUACGCAUA
rnacentral:lncRNA from 1 species